CAGGUAAAUUUUGAGAUUCUAAUUACCUCUGGAAGGGAAGUUCAGAUACCUACCUCGAGCAGCAACGUUGUCCAGCUGUGGUGUCACCUUGACUUUGAAUAGACACUAAUCGGUGUGACGAAGAUGAAUUUAGGAAAGCUGAUUUUUAAAGGACAGAAAAUUCUAGGCUACGUUUUGAAGAUCGCUACGAAGAGAAAUGGGAGAGGAAAUUAGGCCGAAAUGUAGAGAAUUUUGUAUAAUGGAAUUUUUGUACGAAGAUUCUGAAAAGCAAGCUUUAUGGAUUCCGUAAAUUAGUGGAAGUAACUUGGUGGUGAACACGAUCCACAAUGAAAAAGAAUAUCAACUACGUGAAUACCGAAUUUCCUUUCACCCCUCCUGCGAGUACAUUUAGGGUAGACAACACGGCACCUACAUACUAGGUAUGUAACUGUUUUGUAACUUGUAGCUUAGAGAAGCUUGGAGAGGCAAUCUUGGAUAAUUGUGAUUCUACCGCGUCUACUUGGAAAUAACAAUAGCUGAAGUGUGAUGAAGUGGUAUCUGCAAACUACCAUGAACGAUAGACAAAGACAAAAUGGAUUUCGCUAUAGGCUGAGAUUUGUUACGAGGAGAAAUUUAGUUUAUGCUAAGUAACAUAGCAGUGAAGAUUAUGGCCAGUCCUCGAUAAGUCAGUCGUCGGGACGGCGACAAUAAUUUAGAGAAAAAGCAGAUCGUUGAAAACGAGGGAAGACCGCUUUGAAGGCGUCGGGAGGGCGACAACAGCCGAGAGAAAAGCAGAUCGUCGAAUACUGGGGAUGGCCGACAGGUGCGGGUAGAGUAGAAAACGUGUUUCGAUGAUCUGGAGAAAAGCAAAGCUGUGUAAUUUGAAGAGAAAUAUGUAACAGUACGAAGCGUAAGACUGUCAUCAUCAGAAAGAGAAAGCUGGGUGCGAAUACAUCAAAAGGCAGAGUGGGUUAGAAUUGACAGGUCAUGAAACCCAUACGUGCAAAGGGAAGAGAACUGCGAGCGACAGGUCAUGAAACUCAUACGAGUAAGGGGAAGAGAACUGCGAGCGAUGGCUGGGUAACACCAACCGUUAAAG